UUUGACCUCAGAUCAGGUAGGGUUACCCGCUGAACUUAAGCAUAUCAAUAAGCGGAGGAAAAGAAACUAACAAGGAUUCCCCUAGUAACUGCGAGUGAAGCGGGAAAAGCUCAAAUUUAAAAUCUGGCAGUCCUUUGGCUGUCCGAGUUGUAGUCUGGAGAAGUGCUUUCCGCGCUGGACCGUGUACAAGUCUCUUGGAACAGAGCGUCAUAGAGGGUGAGAAUCCCGUCUUUGACACGGACUACCAGUGCUUUGUGAUGCGCUCUCAAAGAGUCGAGUUGUUUGGGAAUGCAGCUCAAAAUGGGUGGUAAAUUCCAUCUAAAGCUAAAUAUUGGCGAGAGACCGAUAGCGAACAAGUACCGUGAGGGAAAGAUGAAAAGCACUUUGGAAAGAGAGUUAAACAGUACGUGAAAUUGCUGAAAGGGAAACGCUUGAAGUCAGUCGCGUUGGCCGGGACUCAGCCUUGCUUUUUUGCUUGGUGCAUUUUCCAGUUGACGGGCCAGCAUCGAUUUUGACCGCUGGAAAAAGGCUAGGGGAAUGUGGCACCCUCGGGUGUGUUAUAGCCCUUAGUCACAUACGGUGGUUGGGAUCGAGGACCGCAGCACGCCUUCAUGGCCGGGGUUCGCCCACGUUCGUGCUUAGGAUGCUGGCAUAAUGGCUUUAAACGACCCGUCUUGAAACACGGACCAAGGAGUCUAACAUGCCUGCGAGUGUUUGGGUGGAAAACCCGAGCGCGCAAUGAAAGUGAAAGUUGAGAUCCCUGUCGUGGGGAGCAUCGACGCCCGGACCUGAACUUCGGUGAUGGAUCUGCGGUAGAGCAUGUAUGUUGGGACCCGAAAGAUGGUGAACUAUGCCUGAAUAGGGUGAAGCCAGAGGAAACUCUGGUGGAGGCUCGUAGCGAUUCUGACGUGCAAAUCGAUCGUCAAAUUUGGGUAUAGGGGCGAAAGACUAAUCGAACCAUCUAGUAGCUGGUUCCUGCCGAAGUUUCCCUCAGGAUAGCAGAAACUCGUAUCAGAUUUAUGUGGUAAAGCGAAUGAUUAGAGGCCUUGGGGUUGAAACAACCUUAACCUAUUCUCAAACUUUAAAUAUGUAAGA
rnacentral:rRNA from 1 species